rnacentral:rRNA from 1 species
UGACGGAGCAACGCCGCGUGAGUGAUGAAGGUCUUCGGAUCGUAAAACUCUGUUAUUAGGGAAGAACAAAUGUGUAAGUAACUAUGCACGUCUUGACGGUACCUAAUCAGAAAGCCACGGCUAACUACGUGCCAGCAGCCGCGGUAAUACGUAGGUGGCAAGCGUUAUCCGGAAUUAUUGGGCGUAAAGCGCGCGUAGGCGGUUUUUUAAGUCUGAUGUGAAAGCCCACGGCUCAACCGUGGAGGGUCAUUGGAAACUGGAAAACUUGAGUGCAGAAGAGGAAAGUGGAAUUCCAUGUGUAGCGGUGAAAUGCGCAGAGAUAUGGAGGAACACCAGUGGC